UGCGUGGGACAAGCCCAAGUUUGUCGGGCGCUGUCGGACUACAACUUCCAUCAUCCCUGCCCUCUGGGCCUGCUAGCUAGGGGAUGGUGGGAGUUGUAGUCCAGAUGGGAGUUGUAGUUGAGAAAGGCCCGAGAGCACCUAGCUGUCUAUCAUAAAAGGAACACGCUGCCUGAUUGUUUAAAAAACCCUCCACGCCAGGGGGGGGUCAGCAACCUUUUUCAACCGUGAGUUCCCAAGAGCAGGUGCUGCUGCCACACGAAACGAUCGGGCGCUGAGCAACACGUGGCCCCAACUUCUCCCGCCAAAGCGUCCCCCUUGGCACAAGUGGGGCAGGUCUUGCAGAGGGCUGCUGCAGUUUGAGAAUGCCAGCUAUGGAAUUGAGCAUUUGAAAGACUCGGCUAAUCUUGAGCACCUGAUUUAUCAAAUAAACAACAAAAACCUCCAGUCUACUUAGUAGAGAAGAUUAGUCAUCUACAGAAAGACAACUGGGCAGCGAGGGCAUGCCUUAUAAGCUGCUCUCAGAUACUGUGCAUUGGUGCACAUUAUGGCAAACAGGAAAAGACAUGGACAUGGCAUCUAUUUAAAGAGAAGAGCAGAUGAAGAUUGUUCUUUGACAGAAGGCAUAGUCAUCCAUAUAGACAUGUGUCUUGGGGCGGAUUCAGUAAUCCUAGGCUCAACUCUAUCAUGUGCCAGCCCUCCUCCAGCCAUCCAAUGCCUAAGCCAAAUCCAAACUACACCCGGAAUCAAGAGUUGGUGGGCCUCAUCAACAGACCAAGGAGCCACAGAGUGGGCAUGGUCAUACUGUAUAUGAAAAAAAGAAGAGCAGAUGAAGAUUGUUCUUAGACAGGAGGCACAGUUAACAACUUGAGUAGGGAUCAGUGAGCUCCGCCUGACAAACCACUUAUUGGGCAUUCAUCUUGAUAUGCUUGCACAAAGCUUAUGCAGAAGUUAGAUUAUAUCUGGACCUUAUCGAGCAAUCUUAAUGACCGAGCACCUUAAUCCACUUUAACUGCACCAACCUAAAUCUCCUGUGCACACUUGAAUCCCUCCCACGAAAUACUAACAAGGAGGUGACCAGAGAGAAUGGCAGCUUACCCAGACACCGGCUGCGGCUGGCAGCUGGGAAAUUGGAUUGGCAGGCUUUCCCACCAUCCAUUUAUUUGAUUUCUGACCAAUACAGCCAGGCUAAGUGGGUGGGGCUUCACUCCGGUCUGCCCCCAGCCUAUAAAGGCUGGCUGUGCCCAAUCCCAGUUGCCUGAAGAACAUCCCUCUCCCACCCUAUUCAGUAAUACCGUGGGUUUUGUAGGUUAACCUUUUGCUUCCUAGGGUACUGUGUUUGUGAGCCCUGCUGUGGUUCUAUAAUGGUUGCUGUUUUUCGAACCGGGAAGCAAUUGGCCUGCAAACAGAUUGGCCCCAAUUGUAGGUUUUGCUUUCCCCUUAGCAACAAUCACUAUUUGUUGCUAUUUGCUGUUAAUAUCGGUUGAAAAUAUUAAUAUUUCCCUUUUCUCAUGGUUAAUCUUAAAACAGGGGUCAGCAAACUUUUUUGGGAGGGGGCUGGUUCACUGCCAUCCACAUACUGCCAAAACCACCUUUUGUGAAUCAAGAGCAGUUUCCCCUCUUUACCUGGCUUCAUAGUCAUUGUGGAUUAGCAGGAGAUGCUGCAGAAUAGAAAGCAGAUGCUGCUCUGCGUUGACUCCUUAACUUGCAGGUUUUGCCUAAGACAAAUCCAUCCUCCACCUGGAAUCAAUAAUCCACAGGGUGGAACUUCUUAUUGAGGAAAAGAAGUCCAGUUUUCUCUUGGAUUUGAAACCAGAGAUUGUCUUUACUUCCAGCUCGUGGGGUGUGGAGUUGUGGGCACAGCCAAAAGUAUGUAUCCUCCUCCUCCGAAUCUUUCAAGGCAUGGACCUGUAGCAGGGGGGUUCCGCUGGGUAGAGAGUCUCAUGAUAUUCCCUCCGGGGAAAGUAGAGGCCAAAGGCAACCUUGCAUAGGACGACGACACUUAACGCCCAUCGGGCUAAAGGCAUCUUCCCCCCUCGCAAUAAUCCCAUCGCCUCUCCUAACUUCUUUGAAGGCAGGGAAGAAGUCUUGGCAAGGCUCCGGAGUUCAAGCGUGCACUAGAUAAGAUAGUUCUCCGUGCUCCAUUCAAAGCAGGUGCCUGGAUGUAACUGUACCCAGCCACGCGUUGCUGUGGCUCGGUCCCUGUGA